CUUUGUAGUAAAGAAGACUAUAAGGCGGAAGGAG
rnacentral:ncRNA from 1 species